AGCUGCUAGGCAUUGAAAUAAGAAGAAAAAGGCAAUAGAUGGCUGCCCCAGCAAGCUCCGCAGCUCAGGGGCCCUGAGCCCUCUGCCCUGGGACAAGUUUGGCUGUAGACGUAG
rnacentral:snoRNA from 1 species